rnacentral:rRNA from 1 species
GCCAGUAGUUAUAUCACCCUGCAACUCAACUGACAACUGGCAGCCCACUGAAGCUCAGCAGGUGUGAGCCUGGUCAGUACCUGGAUGAGAGACCUCCUGGGAAAGCUAAGGCUGCUGCUGGAA